rnacentral:hammerhead_ribozyme from 1 species
AUACAGCUGACGAGUUGCAAAUAGGACGAAAUGCGCAUCCUGGAU